CUUGAAGAAGUCAGCUCCCUUGGAUGGUGCAGUGUAGCAAAUCAAUGUCGAUUCAUUCAUUCUUUGAUGUUGGCUUUCAUUCUUCCAAAGUUGGGUGUACAGGAGCUCUAGGAAGAAGAUUCCUGAAGAUAAACCACACCCAGCAAUGAGUUUUAGCUCACUAGAGAUAGUUAUGCUUGCAGCUAGUUAUGUGUAUAUUUAGUUGUAUUUUAUAGCUGAAUACCAGAAUUGUACUAUGCUUGGCUGUUGUAUGAAAUAUUAUGCCUUA